GCCCUCUUAGCGCAGUGGGCAGCGCGUCAGUCUCAUAAUCUGAAGGUUCUGAGUUCGAGCAUCAGAGACGGUA
rnacentral:tRNA from 1 species